CAUGGUUGUCGUCAGCUCGUGUCGUGAGAUGUUGGGUUAAGUCCCGCAACGAGCGCAACCCUCGACCUUAGUUGCCAGCAUUCAGUUGGGCACUCUAAAGGUGACUACCGGCUAAAAGUCGGAGGAAGGUGGGGAUGACGUCAAAUCAUCAUGCCCCUUAUGACCUGGGCUACACACGUGCUACAAUGGGCGGUACAAAGGGUCGCGAACCCGCGAGGGGGAGCCAAUCCCAAAAAGCCGCUCUCAGUUCGGAUUGCAGGCUGCAACUCGCCUGCAUGAAGCCGGAAUCGCUAGUAAUCGCGGAUCAGCAUGCCGCGGUGAAUACGUUCCCGGGCCUU
rnacentral:rRNA from 1 species